AGCCAGCCACACCAACAGGCUGAAGAACAGUUUCUACCCGUGGGCUGUCAGACUCCUGAACUGAAAGUAACUUCAUGUCAACGUAGUGUGUGGGGCUUGCGG